UACGAAGGGGGCUAGCGUUGUUCGGAAUUACUGGGCGUAAAGGGCUCGUAGGCGGCCAACUAAGUCGGAUGUGAAAUCCCCAGGCUCAACCUGGGAACUGCAUCCGAUACUGGAUGGCUUGAAUUCGGGAGAGGGAUGCAGAAUUCCAGGUGUAGCGGUGAAAUGCGUAGAUAUCUGGAGGAAUACCGGUGGCGAAGGCGGCAUCCUGGACCGACAUUGACGCUGAGGAGCGAAAGCUAGGGGAGCAAACGGG
rnacentral:rRNA from 1 species